UCCUCGUUUAAGCGAGGCAGUCUGUCCAGAGUGCUCCAAACUCUCGUUUGAGUGGCAACAGGACAUAAGGGUUGCGCUCGUUGCGGGACUUAACCCAACAUCUCACGACACGAGCUGACGACAGCCAUGCAGCACCUGUGCAAGCUCCCCUUGCGGGGUCGUCCCACUUUCAUGGUUCUACCACUUGCAUGUCAAGGCCAGGUAAGGUUCUUCGCGUUGCGUCGAAUUAAACCACAUGCUCCGCUGCUUGUGCGGGUCCCCGUCAAUUCCUUUGAGUUUUAACCUUGCGGCCGUACUCCCCAGGCGGAGAACUUAUCGCGUUAGCUACGGCACAGAAUCCGUUGAC
rnacentral:misc_RNA from 1 species